AGACCCCAUGGAGCUUCAAACCCAACUACACCCUUAACUACCACAACCACACAACCUCUUAGGGCCCUGUAUAGUUGGUUUUAGGUUGGGGCGACCACGGAGUACAACCAAACCUCCGCAAUGAACGGGACCACUCCCUUAUCUAAGAGCCACACCUCUAAGAAUUAAAACACUAACAUAAAAUGAUCCAUGAUCUGAUCAAUGAACCAAGUUACCCUGGGGAUAACAGCGCAAUCCAUUUCAAGAGCCCCUAUCGACAAGUGGGUUUACGACCUCGAUGUUGGAUCAGGGUAUCCUAGUGGUGCAGCAGCUACUAAUGGUUCGUUUGUUCAACGAUUAAACCCU
rnacentral:rRNA from 1 species